AGACGACGAAGCAAAAGCACAGUCGUUGCGUUUGAGCUUGAGGUCGAGGAUGGGCGAAGGGAGGGCCAAGGUUCAAGCUCUGCUGCUCGCGGUUCUCGUCCUCGUGAUGAGCUGCUCGGCGGUCCCCUCUGCCUCCAGCGCCAACUGCAUUCCGAGGAGGCUGCUAGCGGUGUCAGGGUCGUCCUACCGGCGAGCGCCGUGCAACAACGACCUGAUCGACCGGCCGACACCAAGCGGCAGCGACGACGACGACCACCGGGAAAUCAUCGCGGGGUCCAGGACCUCGCGGUGGAUACCGCCGCCUCCAAGGGGAGGACUCGAAAGGGCGGCGGGAAUAGUCAGGCCCACUCCCCCGGGGAGCAUCAACUAGAGCUGGUGACACUUACUUAUGGAGUGUUUGGUCGACAGAGUUAAUUCGUUCUGAAUAAAUUAAUCUAUGCAUAGACCACUUGAAAGCAGUUAAGAAGACUCUCAGAUAUUUACAAGCAAUAGCAAAUCUUGUACUUACAUAUAGAAGAUUUAGUUCCCUUGAACUAGUUGGGUAUUCAUAUGAUGAUUGAUCAUUGUGUUGAUAUAUUGAAAUCCACUUCUAGAUAUAUUUUUGUACUUGUUGGGGG
rnacentral:misc_RNA from 1 species